rnacentral:rRNA from 1 species
AGUGAACGCUGGCGGUAGGCCUAACACAUGCAAGUCGAACGGCAGCACAGUAAGAGCUUGCUCUUACGGGUGGCGAGUGGCGGACGGGUGAGGAAUACAUCGGAAUCUACUUUUUCGUGGGGGAUAACGUAGGGAAACUUACGCUAAUACCGCAUACGACCUACGGGUGAAAGCAGGGGAUCUUCGGACCUUGCGCGAUUGAAUGAGCCGAUGUCGGAUUAGCUAGUUGGCGGGGUAAAGGCCCACCAAGGCGACGAUCCGUAGCUGGUCUGAGAGGAUGAUGAGCCACACUGGAACUGAGACACGGUCCAGACUCCUACGGGAGGCAGCAGUGGGGAAUAUUGGACAAUGGGCGCAAGCCUGAUCCAGCCAUACCGCGUGGGUGAAGAAGGCCUUCGGGUCGUAAAGCCCUUUUGUUGGGAAAGAAAAGCAGCAGGUUAAUACCCCGCUGUUCUGACGGUACCCAAAGAAUAAGCACCGGCUAACUUCGUG